UGGCAAUUUUUACAAUCAUGUUUGGUUUAGAUGGUUACAGUAAUGUUGGGUUUAGUGUGUUUGUUAGGCUAAGGUUUCGUAAGACUUGAAACACCAAGGAUUUAGUAAACACCAACAAGCCACGCCCACGAAUCUGACUCGAAAGUGCAUCACCUAACGUUCCCGCUCGUAUAUAAGACUUCACUUGCUGUUUUAACGGUCUAGAGUUAGUUACUUCGGUACGUACAGGCACAGUACGCGAUUUCUUACCGCUCAUGUGAUGAAAUCCGAUCGACAAAGGUGUCAAGCGCCGCCGUCAAUCCCACAAUGCACCUCGAGAGUCUCCAAGAAGCUGGUGAAAGGCGCGCGAGUAUCUCACUGACUGAACACAUUUCUGAUCUCGCGUUCACGCGCCCUUUUAAAAGUUACAUCAGUGGUGUUCAUCGUCUCUGGAGGACUGCUAAAUGUUAACCGGGCACAAGGAGUGUUCACAGUUGAGAACCUAUUAAAGUAACUUCUGCUGUAACCGUGUUUCACUGUGUGCUGGCUGGAGUCUCCAUCACUUCUAACAUCUCUUUGAUUUCAUAUGUAAAUGUUUCUGUGAG